UACGGAGGGUGCAAGCGUUAUCCGGAUUCACUGGGUUUAAAGGGUGCGUAGGUGGGUUGGUAAGUCAGUGGUGAAAUCCCCGAGCUUAACUUGGGAACUGCCAUUGAUACUAUCAGUCUUGAAUACCGUGGAGGUCAGUGGAAUAUGUCAUGUAGCGGUGAAAUGCUUAGAUAUGACAUAGAACACCAAUGGCGAAGGCAGCUGGCUACACGAAUAUUGACACUGAGGCACGAAAGCGUGGGGAGCAAACAGG
rnacentral:rRNA from 1 species